GAUGAACGCUGGCGGCGUGCCUAAUACAUGCAAGUCGAGCGAAGCGGGGACGGGUGAGUAACACGUGGAUAACCUCCUCUAAGCCUGGGAUAACUUAGGGAAACCGGAGCUAAACCGGAUAAUUAUAGAUGGAUCCGCGCUGCAUUAGCUUGUUGGUAAGGUAACGGCUUCCCAAGGCCACGAUGCCUAGCCGACCUGAGAGGGUGACCGGCCACACGGGACCGGAGAAACGGUCAAGACUCCUACGGGAGGCAGCAGUAGGGAAUAUUCCGAAAUGGUCGAAAGCCUGACGGAGCAAGGCCGCGUGAGUGAGGAAGGUCUUCGGUUGGUAAAACACUGUUAUCAGGGAGGCGGUACCUAAACAGAAAGCCACGGCUAACUACGUGCCAGCAGCCGCGGUAAUAC
rnacentral:rRNA from 1 species